rnacentral:lncRNA from 1 species
GGUAUCUAAAGAAAACCCAAAUCAUGGGGUUUGUUUGCUUGAUGUAAUGUAAUUCAGUGAAGACAUUCAAGGGUCGGUUUUUCUUAACUUGAAGGUAUUUUCUUCCAUUACGCAUCUUUGAUUUGUUGUUUUAUCAGUUUCCAAUAUAAAAAUAAUCAAAUGGAUCAUCGAACGCCCAUAUUGAUUUGGAUCUAAACUGAUCACGAUUUCGGAUCAAAAGUUUUUCCUUCUCACCGUUCGGGUAUUAUUAUCUAAAUAAACUUGUAUAUGAGGUUCUAGUUCUAAACAUAAAUAAUAACGAUGUGUUCUUCUGUUAAUUUCCACUUGUUCUUUCGAUGUAACCCAAUAAAAUAUAGUAUGUUAAGAUUAUUUGUACAAGAACUUUACCCAUAAAAUAUAAACCUAUGCUAUUGAGAAGAUACAUAUAGACAA